GUCCGGAUAGUGUAGCGGCCUAUCAUGAAGCCCUGUCGAGGCUUCGACCCGGGUUCAAAUCCCGGUCCGGACGCCA
rnacentral:tRNA from 3 species